rnacentral:rRNA from 1 species
GAUGAACGCUGGCGGCGUGCCUAACACAUGCAAGUCGCACGAGGCCCCAUCGACGGGUAACCGUCGCGGGGUACUAGUGGCGAACGGGUGAGUAACACGUGAGGAACCUGCCCCGGAGUCCGGAACAGCCCAGGGAAACUUGGAUUAAUGCCGGAUACCCUCGAUCGGUCACAUGUCUGGUCGAGGAAAGGUCCGCCGCUCCGGGAUGGCCUCGCGGCCUAUCAGCUUGUUGGUGAGGUAACGGCUCACCAAGGCUACGACGGGUAGCUGGUCUGAGAGGACGAUCAGCCACACUGGGACUGAGACACGGCCCAGACUCCUACGGGUGGCUG